GCCGGACGCGUGACAUAGCGCCCCAGCAAUACCACCAGCACCAGCGCACCCGCCACUUUUAACGCCGAGAGAGCAAAUGCGCCCAUCGUCGUCGAGGCACUGCUCGUUGCCAGUAGCGGAAUCAUCGCCACCAGCGGGAUCGCCGCGAUAUCCUGGAACAGCAGCACCGCAAAGGCACUGCGACCCAUUUGCGUCACCAUCAGAUUGCGUUCAUUCAUCGCCU
rnacentral:misc_RNA from 1 species